AUAAAGUGGCAUUGGCUAGUGGGGAGGCUAGGGUCAUCGGAUCUGACAUCCCUAGCAUCCUCACUGGCAGAUGCGACCACUAUGA
rnacentral:pre_miRNA from 1 species